UUGAACGCUGGCGGCAGGCCUAACACAUGCAAGUCGAGCGGAUGAAGGGAGCUUGCUCCUGGAUUCAGCGGCGGACGGGUGAGUAAUGCCUAGGAAUCUGCCUGGUAGUGGGGGAUAACGUCCGGAAACGGGCGCUAAUACCGCAUACGUCCUGAGGGAGAAAGUGGGGGAUCUUCGGACCUCACGCUCUCAGAUGCGCCUAGGUCGGAUUAGCUAGUUGGUGGGGUAAAGGCCUACCAAGGCGACGAUCCGUAACUGGUCUGAGAGGAUGAUCAGUCACACUGGAACUGAGACACGGUCCAGACUCCUACGGGAGGCAGCAGUGGGGAAUAUUGGACAAUGGGCGAAAGCCUGAUCCAGCCAUGCCGCGUGUGUGAAGAAGGUCUUCGGAUUGUAAAGCACUUUAAGUUGGGAGGAAGGGCAGUAAGUUAAUACCUUGCUGUUUUGACGUUACCAACAGAAUAAGCACCGGCUAACUUCGUG
rnacentral:rRNA from 1 species